AUUGAACGCUGGCGGCAGGCCUAACACAUGCAAGUCGAACGAGUGGCGGACGGGUGAGUAAUGUCUGGGAAACUGCCUGAUGGAGGGGGAUAACUACUGGAAACGGUAGCUAAUACCGCAUACCAUCAGAUGUGCCCAGAUGGGAUUAGCGAGUUGGUGGGGUAACGGCUCACCAAGGCCACGAUCCCUAGCUGGUCUGAGAGGAUGACCGGCCACACUGGGACUGAGACACGGUCCAGACUCCUACGGGAGGCAGCAGUUGGGAAUAUUGGACAAUGGGCGAAAGCCUGAUGCAGCAAUGCCGCGUGUAUGAAGAAGGCCUUCGGAUUGUAAAGUACUUUCAGCGGGGAAGCGUUACCCGCAGAAGAAGCAACGGCUAACUCCGUGCCAGCAGCCGCGGUAAUAC
rnacentral:rRNA from 1 species